rnacentral:rRNA from 1 species
NNNNGCGAUCAUACCAGCAAUUAAUGCACCGGAUUCCCAUCUAAUAUCCGCAGUCAAGCGUGCUUGAGCGAGAGUAGUACUAGGAUGGGUGACCUCCCGAGAAGUCCUCCAGUUCGCAUCCU